AGUAACGCGUGGGUAACCUGCCUCAUACAGGGGGAUAACAGUCAGAAAUGACUGCUAAUACCGCAUAAGACCACAGCACCGCAUGGUGCAGGGGUAAAAACUCCGGUGGUACAGGAUGGACCCGCGUCUGAUUAGCUGGUUGGUGAGGUAACGGCUCACCAAGGCGACGAUCAGUAGCCGGCUUGAGAGAGUGAACGGCCACAUUGGGACUGAGACACGGCCCAA
rnacentral:rRNA from 1 species